rnacentral:rRNA from 1 species
CCCCCCCAAUAGGACGAAAAGUCCUGAUUGGAGGCAACGCCGCGUGAGUGGAAGAAGGAAUUUCCGCUCGUAAAAACUUCUUGUUUUCGAAGGGAAGGAACAACGUACGAAAGUAAUCUACUCGUAUCUUGCCGGUUCCCUCGUUAGAAAAGACCACGGCUAACUACGUGCCAGCAGCCCGCGGUAAUACGUAGGUGGCAAGCGUUGUCCGGAAUUAUUGGGCGUAAAGCGCGCGCAGGCGGUCCUUUAAGUCUGAUGUGAAAGCCCCCGGCUCCACCGUGGAAGGGUCAUUGGAAACUGGAGGACUUGAGUAUAAGAGAGGAAAGGGGAAUUCCACGUGUAGCGGUGAAAUGCGUAGAGAUGUGGAGGAACACCAGUGGCGAAGGCGACUUUCUGGCUUAUUACUGACGCUGAGGCGCGAAAGCGUGGGGAGCAAACAGGAUUAGAUACCCUGGUAGUCCACGCCGUAAACGAUGAGUGCUAAGUGUUAGGGGGUUUCCGCCCCCUAGUGCUGGAGUUAACGCAUUAAGCACUCCGCCUGGGGAGUACGGUCGCAAGACUGAAACUCAAAGGAAUUGACGGGGACCCGCACAAGCGGUGGAGCAUGUGGUUUAAUUUGAAGCAACGCGAAGAACCUUACCAGGUCUUGACAUCCCAAUGCCCGCUCUAGAGAUAGAGUUUUCCCUUCGGGGACAUUGGUGACAGGUGGUGCAUGGUUGUCGUCAGCUCGUGUCGUGAGAUGUUGGGUUAAGUCCCGUAACGAGCGCAACCCUUAACUUUAGUUGCCAGUAUUUAGUUAGGCACUUUAAAGUGACUGCCGGUGACAAAUCGGAGGAAGGUGGGGAUGACGUCAAAUCAUCAUGCCCCUUAUGACCUGGGCUACACACGUGCUACAAUGGACGGUACAGAGGGUUGCCAACCCGCGAGGGGGAGCUAAUCCCAUAAAACCGUUCCCAGUUCGGAUUGCAGGCUGCAACUCGCCUGCAUGAAGCCGGAAUCGCUAGUAAUCGUGGAUCAGCAUGCCACGGUGAAUACGUUCCCGGGUCYUGUACACACCSCCCGUCACACCACGAGAGUUUGUAACACCCGAAGUCGGUGGAGUAACCCUUUUGGGAGCUAGCCGCCUAAUGGUGA